rnacentral:rRNA from 1 species
UCGGGAAUUUUGGGCAAUGGGGGAAACCCUGACCCAGCAACGCCGCGUGAAGGAUGAAGUAUUUCGGUAUGUAAACUUCGAAAGAAUAGGAAGAAUAAAUGACGGUACUAUUUAUAAGGUCCGGCUAACUACGUGCCAGCAGCCGCGGUAAUACGUAGGGACCAAGCGUUGUUCGGAUUUACUGGGCGUAAAGGGCGCGUAGGCGGCAUGACAAGUCACUUGUGAAAUCUCUGGGCUUAACCCAGAACGGCCAGAUGAUACUGCUUUGCUAGAGUGCAGAAGGGGCAAUCGGAAUUCUUGGUGUAGCGGUGAAAUGCGUAGAUAUCAAGAGGAACACCUGAGGUGAAGACGGGUUGCUGGGCUGACACUGACGCUGAGGCGCGAAAGCCAGGGGAGCAAACGGGAUUAGAUACCCUAGUAGUCCCUGAGCGGGCUGGCAAGGCGCAU